CAUAAUUUAGUUUGGAGAAUGUUAACUUUGGAUGUUAGAGGUUUAUUAUGA
rnacentral:tRNA from 1 species